UUCACUUACUAAAAUCGAACUUCUCUUCCUAAUAUCAAUGUUUGGAACUAAACCUACUUCCCUAUCAUCACCUCCAAUCUUAUUCUGGUUUUCCUGACUAUAACUUUUAAAAGCUUCAUUCUCUCAGCUUUUGAAACUCGAUCCUAACCUCGAAGUAAACAGACCACUUUUUUAGCCUUUGCUGAUACUCCUUUUGCCACUUUUCAUAUCAAGUGAAUAUUUCUCCUCUCCCUUUUACUUCUCCUCAAAUUGCUCACUUCUCAUCCCUUCAAUUUUUCUCCCUAUUCUUACCUCUUUUUCUUCAUCUUGCAUCGAUUCCCAACCACACUUAUCUUCUUCCUCCCUAUUGUUUCCAAUUUUCUUAACUUUGGUCUCAUCGUUCUUUAUUCUCAAAUUCCUCUCCUCUUCUUGGACGUUCAUCGCCUCUUUUUUUCCCUUUUUUGGGAAUUGUUCAUCUCCCCUGAUUUUUCUCCACUCAAUUCUUUCAAAUGUCCCUUACGACUCGUAGUCUUUAUUUUUUUUAAAGGCCCAAAUUCAGCUCAUAAUUUUCUUUGAAUUGCAAUUGUUCUCAGCUUUAUUUAGGCUCCCAUCUUUUAACCCUAGUUCGUUAUAUUUCCUCAUUAUUGAGCUUUGAAGUAUUGAGCUCUAAUUUCCUUUCCCAUUAAGCAUUUUCGGCCCACUUUCUUGUCCCUUUCCACUGAGCUAUCACAAUUAAGAUCCAAUCCUCUCUUUGGCUUAACUUCAUGAACCACAGUCCCAUUCACUAACCCUAUUUCCUUUCUGUCAAGCAUUACUUAAUUCUUCUACCUCAUGACUUUAAGCUUUCUCUCUCUAUACCUAGAUCUCCUAUUCUUCUCUUUUAUUCUGACCUAGGGCUAGGACCUUUCAUUUUCAUCAUUCCACUGCCUCCCUUUCUAUAUGCCUCACAUCUCCUUUGUCACUUUUGAUCGAAUCGCACAAUGACUUUUGAAGCAUAUAAACUAUUGGCUUUGAAAAAAUCUGAUCUAAAUAUUUUUCAAUGGUGUACUCUUUGCAAGCACCAUGUCUCUGCUUUAAUUCAAAAUGCCUAUCAUUCUCUCUUUUUUGCUCUAACUUUCACUUAUCCUCAUGUAACUUUCUGACUCACAUAUCUCGUCCAUAAGCUCCAUCUUCUCUUCUCUCUCAUAGCCGCCAUUGCCACCAUGGCUCCACUGUUGUUCCUUUGUUUCCUUUCCUUCAUGGGGCCAUGGAUGGGAUGACAACCUGCUCCUAACAGAGACCAACAUGCACAACUGGUCAAACCUCUCCAUUUUAUAGGCAAUGGGAGAAAUUUUACGCCUAACCAGAGGUUGCAGUAAUGCUUGUGGUUUGAGAAUUCUAUACCAAUAAAUAGGCGAGCCUUUAUUCGUGGACAUCAGGUACUUUUCGAUUCCUACACUACUAAUCAAUUUUACAAUACACCUAACGUUAAGAAUGAUGAGUAUAGUCAAUUUGUGAAUGGUGAUGCCGAUUUGUAUAAAGUUUUAGGGUCCAUAAACAUUUUGAGUACUGACUGGAAAGUGCACAAAGUUUUUUCAAUUUUGUUCAAAGCUAAAGCCAUCGACAAUGACUACAAGGUGUGGUAUCAUUUCUUAGCUGUCAACCUAAUUCUUGUAAAACACUUGAGCAAUGUGACCAAGGAUCAAGUGAUCCUCUUGUAUGCAAUUGUCACAAGAAAAUCCAUUGAUAUUGGGCAAUUGAUCUUCAACAAAAUUAUCAUGUCAACUUCGUUGCCACGUGACGAAUUGUGGUAUUCAUCCUUAAUCACUGCUUUGUGUCAUCAAGUUGGUGUUGUUUGGUCACCCAAUGAAGAAUUGUUGCAUCCAAUGAGUCCAUUGGACAAUAAGAUCAUCAACAAGUUCUACGUGUGUGAGCAAACUGCUACUAGAGGAAGCUCAUUGGUUUCAUCUCAACCACAAUAGUCUAUAGUCUACUUAGAAUCUCUCCAUGUGUCAACGUAUGAAGCAGCUUGAGCGUUGUAAGGACCACUAAGUUGGGUGUUUCAAAGCCAUUGAAGAAAUGAUGUGAGCAUAACUCGAACAUGUCAACAUGGACAUGACUACCUUCCCCACACUACCUGAGGAUCCCACCCACGAUGCUGAUGAUGAUGCUGCUACGAAGGAGGAUGAGGAUUGAUUGCAUCUGCCAAUUUAAGGGAGUACUCUCUUUCUUUACUUUUAAGAACAUUGAGGACAAUGUUCACUUUAAGUUUAAGGGUAAUUAUUAUGUUUUCUUUUGUUUAUCGUAUUUUUAUUUAAACUAGUUCAUUUGCAUGUUAGUAUUAAGAAUGUGUUGAAAUAUUAAGCUAAAGUUGUGCACCAAUAACAAUUGAUUUAUAAGUCUAAUGAUGAAAACCA